CUUUCUCUCUCCUUCUCUCUCACAACUCACAUCUCACAAACUUUAUCAGACUCUUUCUCUCUCUUUCUCCCAGAUCCGUGAUGAAAGAUGUCUGGAGUGCUGAUGGUUUGAGAUGAAAUCAGAUGAUGAACAACCUGUGAUGAAGAACAAACAUCAAUGAAAUCGAAAACACACAGGGUUGAACACGGAUUUGAAGAAACCCUAACUGAAGGUUUUGUCCGGUCAUCUCUGUUGUGGUUUCUUUCGGCUUUCUUCCACAUCAACGAUUAGCAAACACAAAGGUUUAAUGGUGGCAUGUUUGUGCUGGUUCAACAAAGCCAGAAAGCGGAGGCGACGGCUAGGGUUUCGAUUAGUGAUCUCGGUCUGAUGUUCUUCACGAUAGAGAUGCACUCGAGAUGGUAAAGAUGGAAUUCCAGCAUUGCUUGGGGUUACAGGGAUCCGCGUUUGAGUUUAGUUCUGGCUGGAAUCCGAGUCGAUCGUUUCACAACUACUAUGGCGUCUUCUAGGGUUUCAUCAAAAGUCCAAAUCAAGAAAAUCCGUUGGGUCCAUCACUAAAGGAUUUGUUCUACACCAGUCUACUCAAGCUCAACCUAAGCAGGAUUUGUUCUAGAAGUGUAAAAUUUACUUUGUUUACAAUUGUUUAGGAAAGAACAGUUGUUGUUGCUGCAGUUUCCUUGUUAGGAACAUUACCAGCUCUAGCAUCAUUCAGCGAUUCCACAAACACCACUAACAAAUGGGUUACCAGAGCACUUGCGCUUCCUACUGCAGGAACUGCCUCUAAGAAAGAGAUUCGAUUGAAACAGAAUCUGCGGUAAAUACUCUGAAGCAUAUAUUUGACAAGCAUGUAAGCUUAAUUAGAGAAAGAUGUUUUUCAAAUGCUUGUGAAGCUGGAGAAUUUGCUAAAGUGGCAACCAAGCCAUUGAGGUUACACGUGUCAAACGUUUAUGGCAUUAGAGAAACCGGAAGGGGUCCCAAUUCAGGUGUUGGCAGAUUUUUUUUUAACAUGUUGGUUUUUUAUGUGAAAGAGGUAAUAACUUCUCAUCUCAUAUUUUUUAAAGUAUAGUUUGAACCAUUUACUUUUGGAUCCAUCGAUUCUGGUUACAUUUUCCAAACAGGUCUCAAGUGUAUUUUUAUUAGUAUGCGAAUCUUGUAAAUCGUUUUUACAGAGGUUAGGGUAUUAUUGAGAUGCUAUAUGUGUGUUUUAAUCAUUCUGACUCUUAUUUAUAUAACAAUAGAGGUCCUGGACAAAGUAUUUCAUGUCAACCCAUCCUGAUCUGUAAUGGGUCAAAAUGGACCCAAAUGGGUUGGGCCAACUUACACUCUUUUUUUUAUUAAUUUUUUUCAUUUUAUAAAGUUAUAAAUAUGCAAAGUAUGACUCAAUAGGUCUUUAAAAAUUUGAGUUCAGUUUGUAUGGGUUUUAAUUUGUUCGGCCCUUUUGAUCCAUUUUCUUUUUAGUUAAACCAUUUGACCUGAAAAAUGUAAGACAUUGAAACUGAUAUAUGUGUAAGUUGAUGGUCAUAGGUUGUUGCUUUUAUUACGACAAACAAACGAAGAUUUAUGUAAACAAGUUGAAGAUCUACAAGUAAGUCGAUUAAAUGGGGUUGAGGAGCUUGUCUAUCUUAGAUGGGUCAACACUUGUCUUAAAAAUGAGUUGUAAAAUUCAACGUUCGUAAGUUCCGAAGUAACAUCAAGUCCAGCCUCUGUUGAAUGGCUCAAUGGUUCUGUAUCAAGUGAGGGAAGUUCCGAACAUGUCAGUACCCAGAAAAUGUUAAGUUUGAUUAAGAAAAUGAAAAAGUGGCUGGUUCUUGAUGAAGAAACGAAUGUCUCGGAACCGAUUAACUAUAAACUGAAUCUUGGUUGGUCAGAUGGAAGACGGCAUUCUUGUAGCGGAGCAAAUUGCUGUCAAGAAGAUCUCAUGGUGAAUAAAAGACGACGAUCCGAUGGUUUUAUAUGUUUAACGGAAACGGAUGGUGUAAAUGAUAUGAAUGUGGUGAUCCAGGGGUCGCAAGUGCGUGAAGCUACAAAAUUGAAAACGUUACUGGACGUUGAAAAACGGGCCUGGUUAUGGAACCAGCUUAAACGGGUCAGAUGAGUGGACGUGAACGUUGCAAGUUGUUGCUGAUUUCAUGGAGACAUGGACUGAGUUUUUUUUGCAUGUGAUGGUUAUUAGUUUAUUAUAAAUAGUGGCAUUGUUUUAUUUGUGAUGUAGCUUUUUUUUAUUAUUGAAUGCAGAAGAAGCAUUUCUUUUGCAACUUAACUUUCAUAUACAUACGUGUGUGUUGUGUGUAAUCAAAGGGGCCUGAACCAACAGUCUUUAUAAGAAAAUUUGAUUUAAUCUGUUCUAGGAUAUCACUUAACUAUUACAUCUUUGGUUUGUGCAGGAUGAGACAGCUGAUGAGCUGGCAGAGUAUACGCGAGUUUGUGUCCAGCUUACCAAAACCCAUCAAAGACUCCAAGAAAAAAGAGCCUGUACCGGACCAUAUUCUUGAAUUGCUUGAUGAAGCAACAGCCAAUGUUCACCACCAUGGUUUCGGUGGUCAUGACCAUAGCCACGGUCAUGGUCAAGGUAAGGAAGCUGGAUAUCCAGGUGGUUAUGGGCUCAGAGAUGAACUUUAGUUCAGUGUUUGAACGUCUAGAACUGACGGUCUGCUAUUGUUGUGGGUGUUCUUCCAAAACAUAUGGCUGUAAAAGAUUUUGUAUUGUGUUCAACGUCUUUAGUUUUCUGUCUGUGCCAUUCUUGUAAGGUAAAUCUAUAACACAAAGUUAUAAAACGCUUUACUUAUUAGCAUGA